AGAAAAGAUGGUGGCAUGGCACCAGCUAUCCCGAGUCCUUCCUGGAAACUCAGGCAAAUCACAAAGAUAACAUUGGUCCAGACACUACAGAGAAUCAGAGACAGGGCGGGGCAUAGGGUAGGAACGAGGUCGGGAUUGACAUCACUGAGCAUCCAGGUUGUUCCAGAAACAAUUUGUCUUGGUUCCAUUCAGAUGUCCGGGAGCACUUCAAAC
rnacentral:lncRNA from 1 species